rnacentral:rRNA from 1 species
GACGAACGCUGGCGGCGUGCUUAACACAUGCAAGUCGAACGGAAAGGCCCUGCGUUUGUGGGGUGCUCGAGUGGCGAACGGGUGAGUAACACGUGAGUAACCUGCCCUUGACUUUGGGAUAACUUCAGGAAACUGGGGCUAAUACCGGAUAGGAGAUCCUGCUGCAUGGGGGGGGUUGGAAAGUUUCGGCGGUUGUGGAUGGACUCGCGGCUUAUCAGCUUGUUGGGGGGGUAGGGGCUUACCAAGGCUUUGACGGGUAGCCGGCCUGAGAGGGUGACCGGCCACAUUGCGCCUGAGGUACGGCCCAGACUGCAACGGGACGCAGUAGUCGGGAAUAUUGCACAAUGGGCCGAAGCCUGAUGCAGCAACGCCGCGUGCGGGAUGACGGCCUUCGGGUUGUAAACCGCUUUCGCCUGUGACGAAGCGUGAGUGACGGUAAUGGGUAAAGAAGCACCGGCUAACUACGUG